rnacentral:rRNA from 1 species
CGUAGGGGGCAAGCGUUGUCCGGAAUUAUUGGGCGUAAAGAGCGUGUAGGCGGUCCGGUCAGUCGGCUGUGAAAGUCCAGGGCUCAACCCUGGGAUGCCGGUCGAUACUGCCGGACUAGAGUUCGGAAGAGGCGAGUGGAAUUCCCGGUGUAGCGGUGAAAUGCGCAGAUAUCGGGAGGAACACCUAUGGCGAAGGCAGCUCGCUGGGACGUUACUGACGCUGAGACGCGAAAGCGUGGGGAGCAAACAGGAUUAGAUACCCUGGUAGUCCACGCCGUAAACGAUGGGCACUAGGUGUGGGAGGUGUCGACUCCUCCCGUGCCGGAGCUAACGCAUUAAGUGCCCCGCCUGGGGAGUACGGCCGCAAGGCUA